rnacentral:rRNA from 1 species
UACGUAGGGUGCGAGCGUUGUCCGGAAUUAUUGGGCGUAAAGAGCUUGUAGGCGGUUUGUCGCGUCUGCUGUGAAAAUCCGGGGCUCAACCCCGGACUUGCAGUGGGUACGGGCAGACUAGAGUGUGGUAGGGGAGACUGGAAUUCCUGGUGUAGCGGUGAAAUGCGCAGAUAUCUGGAGGAACACCGGUGGCGAAGGCGGCAUCCUGGACCAAUACUGACGCUGAGGAGCGAAAGCCAGGGGAGCAAACGGG